ACGUAGGGGGCGAGCGUUGUCCGAAGUUACUGGGCGUAAAGAGCGCGUAGGCUGGUCUUUAAGUGAGUGGUGAAAGGUUCGGGCUCAACCCGGACACUGCCUUUCAUACUGGGGACCUUGAGUGUGGGAGAGGCGAGUGGAAUGGUCGGUGUAGCGGUGAAAUGCGUAGAUAUCGAUCGGAACACCCAUGGCGAAGGCAGCUCGCUGGCCUGACACUGACGCUGAGGCGCGAAAGCGUGGGGAGCAAACAGGAUUAGAUACCCUGGUAGUCCACGCCGUAAACGAUGAGUGCUAGAUGUAAGGGGUAUCGACCCCCCUUGUGUCGCAGCUAACGCAAUAAGCACUCCGCCUGGGGAGUACGGCCGCAAGGUUG
rnacentral:rRNA from 1 species